AUUGGAAAUGCACAUAUUUUUCAAAUAGUACCUGACAUACAGAGGUUUAGAACAAGUGUUCCUUCUUUUAAAGUUGUCAAAAUUUUUAAUAUUCAAUACGAUAUAAAGGAGAAUACUUCUUCACCUAAAAAUUUGAUGAUCAAAUGUGAAGAAAAACUUGAUUCCUCUACUACUCACAAAAAUAUUCACAAAGAAUUAUUUGAGAAAGCAUCCCUAAGUACAACCAUUUCGUUUAGGUAAUAAUUACAUAUUUAUUUUCAUGUUUGAUUUAUAUUAUUAUAUGUGUUUGUGUGUGCGUUUGUGUGUUUUUCAAACCAACAGAGAUAUAUGGUGUAACACACUGGACCUUUGCAAAUUGCGAGGUUCGAGUGUUCGAGCUGUGUGCUGAGCAAUUCCAGAUUUUCUGGUGGGUCGUUGACAGUGUUCCGACCUAUGGCUCGCAUCCCGAGAAGUGAGGUUUAAAGCCGAGCACGAAAACCCGAAAAAUCGAAUUUUUGGUUAGCUCUCGGGUUGCCUUCAGAGGGCUGUGUACCGGUACGGGAGUGAUGGCUGUACCGGUACAGCCAUCGACUUUGGCCGCUUCUCAGCCAACCCGAGGCUCGGGCUGGGCGUUUUCGCAGAUGGUGUACCGGUACGCGGGCCCGUG
rnacentral:lncRNA from 1 species